AAGGGAGAUGAAGAAAUUGGUAAACUUAGGUAAUUUAGGCUUAUCUGAUCGCGAGAUCUUGCAGGUUCAAGUCCUGUUCUCCCUA
rnacentral:tRNA from 1 species